rnacentral:rRNA from 1 species
UACGAAGGGGGCUAGCGUUGCUCGGAAUUACUGGGCGUAAAGCGCACGUAGGCGGCUUUCUAAGUCGGGGGUGAAAUCCUGGAGCUCAACUCCAGAACUGCCUUCGAUACUGAAGAUCUUGAGUGCGGGAGAGGUGAGUGGAACUGCGAGUGUAGAGGUGAAAUUCGUAGAUAUUCGCAAGAACACCAGUGGCGAAGGCGGCUCACUGGCCCGAUACUGACGCUGAGGCACGAAAGCGUGGGGAGCAAACAGG